rnacentral:ncRNA from 1 species
AUUCCGGUUGAUCCUGCCGGAGGUCAUUGCUAUUGGGGUCCGAUUUAGCCAUGCUAGUUGCGCGAUUUAGAUCGCAGCGGAAAGCUCAGUAACACGU